GCAUUGGUGGUUCAAUGGUAGAAUUCUCACCUUCCACAAGGGAGACCAUGGUUUGAUUCCUGGCUAGUGCG
rnacentral:tRNA from 1 species